GCUUACGGCCAUACCACCAUGAGCGCGCCCGAUCUUGUCUGAUCUCGGAAGCUAAGCAGGGUCGGGCCUGGUUAGUACUUGGAUGGGAGACCGCCUGGGAAUACCAGGUGCUGUAAGCU
rnacentral:rRNA from 1 species